rnacentral:rRNA from 1 species
AUUGAACGCUGGCGGCAUGCCUUACACAUGCAAGUCGAACGGUAACGGGCCUUCGGGUGCCGACGAGUGGCGAACGGGUGAGUAAUACAUCGGAACGUGCCCGAUCGUGGGGGAUAACGAGGCGAAAGCUUUGCUAAUACCGCAUACGAUCUACGGAUGAAAGCAGGGGACCGCAAGGCCUUGCGCGGACGGAGCGGCCGAUGGCAGAUUAGGUAGUUGGUGGGAUAAAAGCUUACCAAGCCGACGAUCUGUAGCUGGUCUGAGAGGAUGAUCAGCCACACUGGGACUGAGACACGGCCCAGACUCCUACGGGGGGCAGCAGUGGGGAAUUUUGGACAAUGGGCGCAAGCCUGAUCCAGCCAUGCCGCGUGCAGGAUGAAGGCCUUCGGGUUGUAAAAUGCUUUUGUACGGAACGAAAAGCCUUCUUUUAAUACAGGAGGGUCAUGACGGUACCGUAAGAAUAAGCACCGGCUAACUACGUG